UUCCGGUUGAUCCCGCCGGAGGUCACUGCUAUCGGGGUUCGAUUAAGCCAUGCGAGUCGAGAGGGUUCAGACCCUCGGCGGACUGCUCAGUAGCACGUGGAUAAUCUGCCCUAUGGUGGAGGAUAACCCCGGGAAACUGGGGAUAAUACUCCAUAAGUCAGGAGUACUGGAAUGUCUCCUAACUGAAAGUUUCGGCGCCAUAGGAUGAAUCUGCGGCCGAUUAGGUAGUUGUUGGGGUAACGGCCCAACAAGCCCGUAAUCGGUACGGGUUGUGGGAGCAAGAGCCCGGAGAUGGAAUCUGAGACACGAUUCCAGGCCCUACGGGGCGCAGCAGGCGCGAAAACUUUACAAUGCAGGAAACUGUGAUAAGGGAACCCCGAGUGCCCGUACACGCGGGCUGUCCCGGUGUUUAAAACACAUCGGAAGAAAGGGCCGGGCAAGACCGGUGCCAGCCGCCGCGGUAAUACCGGCGGCUCGAGUGGUGACCACUUUUAUUGGGCUUAAAGCGUUCGUAGCUUGAUUUUUAAGUCUCUUGGGAAAUCUCACGGCUUAACUGUGAGGCGUCUAAGAGAUACUGGGAAUCUAGGGACCGGGAGAGGUAAGAGGUACUUCAGGGGUAGAAGUGAAAUUCUGUAAUCCUUGAGGGACCACCGAUGGCGAAGGCAUCUUACCAGAACGGCUUCGACAGUGAGGAACGAAAGCUGGGGGAGCGAACGGGAUUAGAUACCCCGGUAGUCCCAGCCGUAAACUAUGCGCGUUAGGUGUGCCUGUAACUACGAGUUACCGGGGUGCCGAAGUGAAAACGUGAAACGUGCCGCCUGGGAAGUACGGUCGCAAGGCUGAAACUUAAAGGAAUUGGCGGGGGAGCACCACAACGGGUGGAGCCUGCGGUUUAAUUGGAUUCAACGCCGGG
rnacentral:rRNA from 1 species